rnacentral:rRNA from 1 species
UACAGAGGUCUCAAGCGUUGUUCGGAUUCAUUGGGCGUAAAGGGUGCGUAGGCGGCGCGGUAAGUCGGAUGUGAAAUCUCGGAGCUUAACUUCGAAACUGCAUUCGAUACUGCCGUGCUUGAGGACUGGAGAGGAGACUGGAAUUCCUGGUGUAGCGGUGAAAUGCGCAGAUAUCAGGAGGAACACCGGUGGCGAAGGCGGGUCUCUGGGCCGAUACUGACGCUGAGGAGCGAAAGCGUGGGGAGCGAACAGG